GUUAGUUCAGUUUGCAUGCUUAUUAGCAAAAGGCUUGUUGUAGUGCAGUGUCAAACCAUUUAAUCCCAUCCCUGUUGGAAGGCUGUGUCCUAUGAGAUCAUGGAAGCAGUUCCCUGCACACCAACUCUGCUUUCCAACUUCUUAGCUGUCAACAAAGUUGACCAUGGCUGUAAAACCGAGGCACAUGUUUUCUCCUUCUUACAUACUGGAAUGGGGCUGAUGUUACGCUUUUAAAUAUCUGUGCUUGGACUUGCCUUGAAAAAGGUUUUUGUAGAGAUUUCUGCUGACAAAACUUCAAACCUCGAGUCUGUCAUCCCCACUCAUUUGAUUAUCAAAAUAGGAGUGGAAAUGACCAUGCCGGUGCCAGUCAGAUUUUUUUAAAGAAUGAAGACUCCAUGACACGUCCAAAACUAGGAGGUAAAACACAUAUCUAGGGUUUGGAGAAACUGCUGCAGAUCACACAUGCCAUAACAUAACCCAGACAAAAGAGAACUGAUAUAGGUGGCCUCUGAGCACAAGUACCUAACUGGACAGAGAGAAAAGGAGGUUCAUUUCUGAGGCUGAGAAAGUGAGCCUUGAAGAACAUACUCUGAGACAAAAUGCAUGAGAAGCAGCCACAUUUGCAGCAGAAAGGUAAUCUUUGAAUAGCAAUGAAGCUACUACUGAACUUAACUGGAACUACUGCUUAACAGAUCUCAAAACCAGAAAUAAAGUGUGCCAGAAAUAAA